AACCCAACCCUUGUUCACCUACCUCUUCCUAUUCGCAUUGCUGUGAGUUCUUGUUCUUGGUUAAUGAAAAGGAAGGGUGCUUUAGUUAAGUUUAACCCGGUUGAUUCCCAUUUGAGUGGGAAUUUGAAAAGUCCGGAUCCUGAUGACAAAAGAAUAAGGUUAGAAAGGCGAUGGAGGAGACGGGAGACCAUGGUUGAUAGUUUGAAGCACAAUCGUGUCGCUAGUGCUUCAAAGACGGAUUUGAAGAUUUGUGGAAGUACCGAUGUUUUAAUAGAUAAAAAUGAUCAUACGUUAGAUGGUGAAACAGAUGAUGAUUGGAAAACAUUUUUG